GGGUCAGUAGGUUGGUCGUGCCACCGGUACGUACUGGUCUCACUGAUUCCUCCUUCCUGAAGAACCGUAAUGCCAUUAAUUUGGUGUUGCGGGGAGACAGGACUGUUACUUUGAAAAAAUUAGAGUGUUUAAAGCAAGCUAACGCUUGAAUGCAUUAGCAUGGAAUAAUGAAAUAGGACGAUCGAUCCUAUUUUGUUGGUUUCUAGGAUUGACGUA
rnacentral:rRNA from 1 species